rnacentral:rRNA from 1 species
GUGAACCAGUACCGUGAGGGAAAGGCGAAAAGAACCCCGGCGAGGGGAGUGAAAAAGAACCUGAAACCGUGUACGUACAAGCAGUGGGAGCACCCUUUGGGUGUGACUGCGUACCUUUUGUAUAAUGGGUCAGCGACUUAUAUUCUGUAGCAAGGUUAACCGAAUAGGGGAGCCGGAGGGAAACCGAGUCUUAACCGGGCGUUAAGUUGCAGGGUAUAGACCCGAAACCCGGUGAUCUAGCCAUGGGCAGGUUGAAGGUUGGGUAACACUAACUGGAGGACCGAACCGACUAAUGUUGAAAAAUUAGCGGAUGACCUGUGGCUGGGGGUGAAAGGCCAAUCAAACCGGGAGAUAGCUGGUUCUCCCCGAAAGCUAUUUAGGUAGCGCCUCGUGAAUUCAUCUCCGGGGGUAGAGCACUGUUUCGGCUAGGGGGCCAUCCCGGCUUACCAACCCGAUGCAAACUGCGAAUACCGGAGAAUGUUAUCACGGGAGACACACGGCGGGUGCUAACGUCCGUCGUGAAGAGGGAAACAACCCAGACCGCCAGCUAAGGUCCCAAAGUCAUGGUUAAGUGGGAAACGAUGUGGGAAGGCCCAGACAGCCAGGAUGUUGGCUUAGAAGCAGCCAUCAUUUAAAGAAAGCGUAAUAGCUCACUGGUCGAGUCGGCCUGCGCGGAAGAUGUAACGGGGCUAAACCAUGCACCGAAGCUGCGGCAGCGACACUGUGUGUUGUUGGGUAGGGGAGCGUUCUGUAAGCCUGUGAAGGUGUGUCGUGAGGCAUGCUGGAGGUAUCAGAAGUGCGAAUGCUGACAUAAGUAACGAUAAAGCGGGUGAAAAGCCCGCUCGCCGGAAGACCAAGGGUUCCUGUCCAACGUUAAUCGGGGCAGGGUGAGUCGACCCCUAAGGCGAGGCCGAAAGGCGUAGUCGAUGGGAAACGGGUUAAUAUUCCCGUACUUGGUGUUACUGCGAAGGGGGGACGGAGAAGGCUAUGUUGGCCGGGCGACGGUUGUCCCGGUUUAAGCGUGUAGGUGUGUGUUCCAGGUAAAUCCGGUUCACUUUAACACUGAGGCGUGACGACGAGGCACUACGGUGCUGAAGCAACAAAUGCCCUGCUUCCAGGAAAAGCCUCUAAGCAUCAGGUAACAUCAAAUCGUACCCCAAACCGACACAGGUGGUCAGGUAGAGAAUACCAAGGCGCUUGAGAGAACUCGGGUGAAGGAACUAGGCAAAAUGGUGCCGUAACUUCGGGAGAAGGCACGCUGACACGUAGGUGAAGUGAUUUACUCAUGGAGCUGAAGUCAGUCGAAGAUACCAGCUGGCUGCAACUGUUUAUUAAAAACACAGCACUGUGCAAACACGAAAGUGGACGUAUACGGUGUGACGCCUGCCCGGUGCCGGAAGGUUAAUUGAUGGGGUCAGCGCAAGCGAAGCUCCUGAUCGAAGCCCCGGUAAACGGCGGCCGUAACUAUAACGGUCCUAAGGUAGCGAAAUUCCUUGUCGGGUAAGUUCCGACCUGCACGAAUGGCGUAAUGAUGGCCAGGCUGUCUCCACCCGAGACUCAGUGAAAUUGAACUCGCUGUGAAGAUGCAGUGUACCCGCGGCAAGACGGAAAGACCCCGUGAACCUUUACUAUAGCUUGACACUGAACAUUGAGCCUUGAUGUGUAGGAUAGGUGGGAGGCUUUGAAGUGUGGACGCCAGUCUGCAUGGAGCCGACCUUGAAAUACCACCCUUUAAUGUUUGAUGUUCUAACGUGGACCCGUUACCCGGGUUGCGGACAGUGUCUGGUGGGUAGUUUGACUGGGGCGGUCUCCUCCUAAAGAGUAACGGAGGAGCACGAAGGUUGGCUAAUCCUGGUCGGACAUCAGGAGGUUAGUGCAAUGGCAUAAGCCAGCUUGACUGCGAGCGUGACGGCGCGAGCAGGUGCGAAAGCAGGUCAUAGUGAUCCGGUGGUUCUGAAUGGAAGGGCCAUCGCUCAACGGAUAAAAGGUACUCCGGGGAUAACAGGCUGAUACCGCCCAAGAGUUCAUAUCGACGGCGGUGUUUGGCACCUCGAUGUCGGCUCAUCACAUCCUGGGGCUGAAGUAGGUCCCAAGGGUAUGGCUGUUCGCCAUUUAAAGUGGUACGCGAGCUGGGUUUAGAACGUCGUGAGACAGUUCGGUCCCUAUCUGCCGUGGGCGCUGGAGAACUGAGGGGGGCUGCUCCUAGUACGAGAGGACCGGAGUGGACGCAUCACUGGUGUUCGGGUUGUCAUGCCAAUGGCACUGCCCGGUAGCUAAAUGCGGAAGAGAUAAGUGCUGAAAGCAUCUAAGCACGAAACUUGCCCCGAGAUGAGUUCUCCCUGAGACUUAGAGUCUCCUGAAGGAACGUUGAAGACGACGACGUUGAUAGGCCGGGUGUGUAAGCGCAGCGAUGCGUUGAGCUAACCGGUACUAAUGAACCGUGAGGCUUAACC